rnacentral:rRNA from 1 species
AGUGGCGAACGGGUGAGUAACGCGUGGAUGAUCUACCUACGAGAUGGGGAUAACUAUUAGAAAUAGUAGCUAAUACCGAAUAAAGUCAAUUAAUUUGUUAAUUGAUGAAAGGAAGCCUUUAAAGCUUCGCUUGUAGAUGAGUCUGCGUCUUAUUAGUUAGUUGGUAGGGUAAAUGCCUACCAAGGCGAUGAUAAGUAACCGGCCUGAGAGGGUGAACGGUCACACUGGAACUGAGAUACGGUCCAGACUCCUACGGGAGGCAGCAGCUAAGAAUCUUCCGCAAUGGGCGAAAGCCUGACGGAGCGACACUGCGUGAAUGAAGAAGGUCGAAAGAUUGUAAAAUUCUUUUAUAAAUGAGGAAUAAGCUUUGUAGGAAAUGACGAAGUGAUGACGUUAAUUUAUGAAUAAGCCCCGGCUAAUUACGUGCCAGCAGCCGCGGUAAUACGUAAGGGGCGAGCGUUGUUCGGGAUUAUUGGGCGUAAAGGGUGAGUAGGCGGAUAUAUAAGUCUAUGCAUAAAAUACCACAGCUCAACUGUGGAACUAUGUUGGAAACUAUAUGUCUAGAGUCUGAUA